UUGAAAAUUAUGUAAAAAUUUUAAAAAUUGACAUUACUCCAAAUAUGUUGUGAUGGAACCUAGAGUUAUCUUUCUUUGCCCUUGUUAUUUUCAUUUUGAUAAUUCAGAGUUCUCUCUCCUUUGUGGAACUCUUCAUUUUUAAGUCAUGUUUACAGCCCGCGGUGCGCAUGCUACAAACGCCAGUAGACUUUCUCAUGUUCCAUCCCUGUCCCCUCAAAUUAAUGUUGCAAGUGAAUGCCCUAGUAUCAAAACAUGAGUCAUUGGAUUAAAUUUCUGAUGUUUGGUAGCGGAGAUAUAUAAAAAAAAAUGUCUAUUUCCUAAACGAAAGAUGACGAACUGUGUCUUUCAAGAAUGUACCAGAACAUUAUUCUGAUUAUGAAUACAAUGUGAACUUAGCCAAUGUCAAGCUCUGGUUAGACAAGCACUUUAUGUAGUUUGGAUUAUUCUAUAACUAGGACUAGGAUCUAGGAAUAUCGUUGGAAAUUAACAGCCGAUUUGUGAUUUGUUUUGUAUACAGAUUCAGCUCGACACGGACAUUGUUUAUUGUUCACCUAUUGUAAGUUAGUACUUUGUUAUUAUUAUAAUUUUCUUUCAAGAAUUGCAAAUAAAUGUUAUUACUUGUU